rnacentral:rRNA from 1 species
GUGGGGAAUAUUGGACAAUGGGCGAAAGCCUGAUCCAGCCAUGCCGCGUGUGUGAAGAAGGUCUUCGGAUUGUAAAGCACUUUAAGUUGGGAGGAAGGGCAGUAAGUUAAUACCUUGCUGUUUUGACGUUACCGACAGAAUAAGCACCGGCUAACUUCGUGCCAGCAGCCGCGGUAAUACGAAGGGUGCAAGCGUUAAUCGGAAUUACUGGGCGUAAAGCGCGCGUAGGUGGUUCAGCAAGUUGGAGGUGAAAUCCCCGGGCUCAACCUGGGAACUGCCUCCAAAACUGCAUGACUAGAGUACGGUAGAGGGUAGUGGAAUUUCCUGUGUAGCGGUGAAAUGCGUAGAUAUAGGAAGGAACACCAGUGGCGAAGGCGACUACCUGGACUGAUACUGACACUGAGGUGCGAAAGCGUGGGGAGCAAACAGGAUUAGAUACCCCGGUAGUCC